rnacentral:rRNA from 2 species
GUGCCAGCAGCCGCGGUAAUACGUAGGGUGCAAGCGUUGUCCGGAAUUAUUGGGCGUAAAGAGCUCGUAGGCGGUUUGUUGCGUCGGCUGUGAAAACCUGAGGCUCAACCUCAGGCCUGCAGUCGAUACGAGCAGACUAGAGUGUUGCAGGGGAGACUGGAAUUCCUGGUGUAGCGGUGAAAUGCGCAGAUAUCAGGAGGAACACCGGUGGCGAAGGCGGGUCUCUGGGCAACAACUGACGCUGAGGAGCGAAAGCGUGGGGAGCGAACAGGAUUAGAUACCCUGGUAGUCC